rnacentral:rRNA from 1 species
UACAGAGGUCUCGAGCGUUGUUCGGAUUUAUUGGGCGUAAAGCGUGCGUAGGCGGCGGGGUAAGUGAGGUGUGGAAUCCCGGAGCUUAACUCCGGAACUGCACUUUAUACUGCCUUGCUCGAGGGCUGGAGAGGAGACUGGAAUUUACGGUGUAGCAGUGAAAUGCGUAGAGAUCGUAAGGAAGACCAGUGGCGAAGGCGAGUCUCUGGAAAGCUGCUGACGCUGAGGCACGAAGGCCAGGGGAGCAAACGGG